rnacentral:rRNA from 1 species
GGGCGUUAAGUUGCAGGGUAUAGACCCGAAACCCGGUGAUCUAGCCAUGGGCAGGUUGAAGGUUGGGUAACACUAACUGGAGGACCGAACCGACUAAUGUUGAAAAAUUAGCGGAUGACCUGUGGCUGGGGGUGAAAGGCCAAUCAAACCGGGAGAUAGCUGGUUCUCCCCGAAAGCUAUUUAGGUAGCGCCUCGUGAAUUCAUCUCCGGGGGUAGAGCACUGUUUCGGCUAGGGGGCCAUCCCGGCUUACCAACCCGAUGCAAACUGCGAAUACCGGAGAAUGUUAUCACGGGAGACACACGGCGGGUGCUAACGUCCGUCGUGAAGAGGGAAACAACCCAGACCGCCAGCUAAGGUCCCAAAGUCAUGGUUAAGUGGGAAACGAUGUGGGAAGGCCCAGACAGCCAGGAUGUUGGCUUAGAAGCAGCCAUCAUUUAAAGAAAGCGUAAUAGCUCACUGGUCGAGUCGGCCUGCGCGGAAGAUGUAACGGGGCUAAACCAUGCACCGAAGCUGCGGCAGCGAACGUAUCACUUAAAGCGAUUCAGCGGAUGACGAUUGACGGAGCGAAGCGACGUCAAAGCGUAUACAAAGUCGAGUCGGUUUAAGGAUACGUUCGUUGGGUAGGGGAGCGUUCUGUAAGCCUGCGAAGGUGGCCUGUGAGGGUUGCUGGAGGUAUCAGAAGUGCGAAUGCUGACAUAAGUAACGAUAAAGCGGGUGAAAAGCCCGCUCGCCGGAAGACCAAGGGUUCCUGUCCAACGUUAAUCGGGGCAGGGUGAGUCGACCCCUAAGGC